rnacentral:rRNA from 1 species
GCCAGACUCCUACGGGAGGCAGCAGUGAGGAAUAUUGGUCAAUGGUCGGGAGACUGAACCAGCCAAGCCGCGUGAGGGAGGAAGGUACAGAGUAUCGUAAACCUCUUUUGUCAGGGAACAAAGACUGGGACGCGUCCCCGGAUGAGUGUACCUGAAGAAAAAGCAUCGGCUAACUCCGUGCCAGUAGCCGCGGUAAUACGGAGGAUGCGAGCGUUAUCCGGAUUUAUUGGGUUUAAAGGGUGCGCGGGCGGUCUGUUAAGUCAGCGGUCAAAUGUCGGGGCUCAACCCCGGCCUGCCGUUGAAACUGGCGGCCUCGAGUGGGCGAGAAGUAUGCGGAAUGCGUGGUGUAGCGGUGAAAUGCAUAGAUAUCACGCAGAACUCCGAUUGCGAAGGCAGCGUACCGGCGCCCAACUGACGCUCAUGCACGAAAGCGUGGGUAUCGAACAGGAUUAGAUACCCCGGUAU